UACGUAGGGACCAAGCGUUGUUCGGAUUUACUGGGCGUAAAGGGCGCGUAGGCGGCAAUUCAAGUCAUCUGUGAAAUCUCCGAGCUUAACUCGGAACGGUCAGAUGAUACUGCUUUGCUAGAGUGCAGAAGGGGCAACCGGAAUUCUUGGUGUAGCGGUGAAAUGCGUAGAUACCAAGAGGAACACCGGAGGUGAAGACGGGUUGCUGGGCUGACACUGACGCUGAGGCGCGAAAGCUAGGGUAGCAAACGGG
rnacentral:rRNA from 1 species